rnacentral:rRNA from 1 species
GACGAACGCUGGCGGCGUGCCUAAUACAUGCAAGUCGAACGCAGUGGGGACGGGUGCGUAACACGUGGGUAACCUCCCAUCAGAGGGGAUAACACUUGGAAACAGGUGCUAAACCGAUACUGAUGGAUGAACCCGCGGUGCAGUAGCUAGUUGGUGAGGUAACGGCUCACCAAGGCCACGAUGCAUAGCGGACCUUAGAGGGUGAGCGGCCACACUGGGACGGAGACACGGCCCAGACUCCUACGGGAGGCAGCAGUGGGGAAUCGUGGGCAAUGGACGAAAGUCGGACGGAGCAACGCCGCGGGAGUGAAGAAGGUUUUCGGGUCGUAAAACUCUGUUGUUAGAGAAGCGGUAUCUAACCAGAAAGCCACGGCUAACGACGUGCCAGCAGCCGCGGUAAUAC